ACUCUACUCAUCGUAUUACAUUUUAGGAAAGUUUAGUAAAAAGGGAUGUGAGAGGAUUCUGCCCUGGCCAGAUGUGGAAUCUGUGGCAAUGUGUGGUACAUGUGAGCUCUUUUAUGAGUGUAUUUGAGGUUCCUUGAAAUUUUUGAAGGACCUCUCUGAACGAGAUAAUCAGGCUCAAGACUGGGUGAGAUACAUAAAGCAUACACUUCCAUUGGACUUUGAGGUUCAGCACCCUAUGCAAGGUGAAAGGGGAUUUCCAGACUUUGAAGAAAGAUGGCAACAAAUUGGGUCAAACCAGCUCUUCUUUGUAAAAUGUUUCAUGGAUCAAAAUAGCAACUCUUCUGACUUAAUUCCUAAAAGAGCAACCCUAUGACCUUUGUCCUAGAGGCCUUUGGUUCAUUCUGACAGUAAUUACAUAGCCAUAGACUGAUUUUUUUUUUUUUUUUUUUAGCUAUAAAAACAAGAUUAUCCACAUUUUGAAAAAAAAAGUGCCUUGCCUCUAAAGCUAUGUUUAAACUAACCAAACAAAAAAUAACAUUAAUUUUAAAGACCCUGGGGAUUUUAAAAAUUAUUAUUAUAUUAGUGGCCAGCAUGCUCACUGCAUGCCAUUACUUUUCUGCUUCUUUGUGCUAAUAUCGAGCCACCGAAGCCAAGAACUUGCUAGCCAGAUGUCUUGAAGUAUUCUUUGCCUAGAUCCAAGGAAAGUUUGAGAUUCUUGAGCAGAUUCUUGCAUUUUCCUAAGAGUUACACUAGGUUAGGCUACAGCCUCUCAUUGAUGGCAUUUAACUUGAUGACAACACUUGGAGUAGUAAUGUCUGAAGGACAGCAUGCUUCUGAAAUCUUGUGAAAAAGAAGGUUGAACUGAACGUUAUGGUUCAUUUGGGAGUCGGAGAAGGGCAAGUGGACAAUAACUUUGCAUGCUGUAGAUCAUGGAAAUGGUCAUGUCUUCAAAAAGCCAAGUCAGGAUCUUGAAGUGUACUUCCCAUCACAUCUGCAGGAGUAGACUGCAAUCUAUCAAUGGUGAAUGUUAUAUAAAAAAAUUGUCUACUAAGCUUUAAUGGAUUGAACCAUUUGUGGUAUAUGUCUGUGCAACAUGAUUCUUAUAAAUGUGCCCUAAACUAGAAAAAAUAUGGUUUCAACUCUGCUAAGCAAACUAAUGCCGUGAUGGAAAGGUCAGCAAAUAGUGGUGAGUUUCUUUGAACUGUGAUACUAAAUCUACUUUAAUGUUGUCUAACAACCUUAUGCCUCUUGGUUUGUCAGUGAGGGAGAAGGAUGCCUGUCUCUUUAGAAAAGCAAAGCAUUCCCCUAUCCACACUUCAUAGGGAGAAGGGCCAAUUAGACCUCAGGCUGAGGGUUCAGUGUCAAGAGAUCUUUCCUCAUGGUCAGCUCCAUAUAUAGAAUAUAUCUACUUUUCUCUAACACUUUUUAGUCUUUUAUCCCUGUUGGGAAAACAGCCACUUAUUAACUACUGGAAAAUUCAUGAGGAGGGGGAAGAAAAAAAGUGGUUUGUCAUUCUUGAGUUAUUAAAGCCAAAAAAUGGAUCUGUUUAACUUUUAAUAGGGUGCAAGUUAAAAUAUUUUCUUUAAAGAGAUGGAAGAAAAUACUGUAGCUUUAA